AACGAACGCUGGCGGCAGGCUUAACACAUGCAAGUCGAGCGCCCCGCAAGGGGAGCGGCCGACGGGUGAGUAACGCGUGGGAACGUACCUUUUGGUUCGUAACAACUCCGGGAAACUGGAGCUAAUACCGGAUAAGCCCUAACGGGGAAAGAUUUAUCGCCGAAAGAUCGGCCCGCGUCUGAUUAGCUAGUUGGUGAGGUAACGGCUCACCAAGGCGACGAUCAGUAGCUGGUCUGAGAGGAUGAUCAGCCACACUGGGACUGAGACACGGCCCAGACUCCUACGGGAGGCAGCAGUGGGGAAUAUUGGACGAUGGGCGCAAGCCUGAUCCAGCCAUGCCGCGUGAGUGAUGAAGGCCUUAGGGUUGUAAAGCUCUUUUGUCCGGGAAGAUAAUGACUGUACCGGAAGAAUAAGCCCCGGCUAACUUCGUG
rnacentral:rRNA from 1 species